rnacentral:lncRNA from 1 species
GCCAGAUUACAGCAGAGUCAGAUUUCAAGUACUUGUUUUAACCAGAGAUACCUGAAGGGCACACAUCUUUCUGUUGAUUCAUAGGUCUGCUCAUAGUCAGCAAGAGACCUGGAUCGUUCUGACUUCCCAGUCUUGAGAAGUGUCCUGUUAUUACCAAUGAGUCUGGGUCCUGGAAUCUGGAAAAAUGCUCUAUGCCUCCUGUGAACAGGACCCAGUGAAUGGAAUGUCGCCCUGGGAUGUGGAAAUCUCAAGUUUCCUGGACGUAGGGAAGUUUAGAAGGGAGAGUCAAAUGAAGAUUCACAGUCUUGAGAUCGCUGCUAAAGGUGACCUAGGAAAAUGCUCCUCUCGCCAAUCAUGGGGAGGGAGCUGAAGAUUAAAUCCUGGAGUCUGCCCCAUUAGAAGAGCAGCAGCCUGGUUUCUGGUGACUACAGCAGCAGGUAAGAAACGAAUGGUUGUUCUUACCUUUUGUUUUACAUAAAAUAUAAUUUUAAGGCAGAUUUGAUGUGACAUGUCCGUGUAUUAGGCAUAGUAGAAU